GGGAUGGUGGCUCAGUGGUAGAGUGCUUGCCUUGCAUGCAUGAGGCCCUGGGUUUGAUUCCUCAGUACCA
rnacentral:tRNA from 1 species